UGGUGAAUGAUGAAGAGACGCUGGGCAAUCUGAGUUCUUGAGGACCAAGGAUGGAGUGUGUUCUGAGAACCAUGUAAGACAG